UGCUUAGGGCGGCUCACGCUACACGGCUAGCUUGCUGCUUUCUGGGUUUACUUCGCAACUUCCUCUUUUUCCUACAUAAAUCAACCAACCGAGUGAGCUCAAGUCAAGUCAGCCACACGAAUAAAGGCUCCAUCUCCGGCCCAGGCCCUGUCCACACCCUGGCCCUCAAUCCUGCAGGGUUUCCAGUCAGGGAAGGGAAAACGUCCAGCUACUACUAAGGCAUCAUCAUGAAGCUCAGCCAGCAACUUGUCCUGCAACAAUGAAAGCUACAAAGACAAUAUUUUUUUAAUUUUGCAGGUGUCCAGAAAUGUAAAAAAAAAAAAAGUUAAGAUUGUAGGUAUUGGUUCACUGAAUUACUCACCACACUGGGAGCCAGAAACACAGUGAUGUUCUUACAUUCUGUCAAAUCAACCUACAAUGAGAAGGAUUUAACCUUAAAAAUAAUGCAGUUUAAAAUGUAGGGGUUCACUUACAGUUAUGGUAAAUGAAAGUAAUACAAGCUUAUACUAAAGCAAAUCUAAAUAAAUUUGGCUUCCUCACAGUCCACAAUGCUACUAUGGCAUAUACUGUAAUAGUGGCUGGUUUACCCUGCAGAUGUGCAAAGAAGAAUUUCAUGUUGCCAAAACAUCUAUGUGCCAAACAUCAAACCUUCCAGAGGUCUUCACGCCGGUAUAAAACCUUCCCAUGAAGGCCUGCUCUCCAUGCGUGAAAACGGGCCAGACGAACAAGCCAUGGAUUGAGCUCAUAACCGACAGCUGGCGUGAAACCCUGCCGACUGGCUUCCAAGACCUUAGGGGUUAAAAAUAACCACUGUCAAAGUAAUUGUUAAUCAGUGCAGGACAAAGAAUCCAAGUAAAAAUGCAUGACUUACAAUGCGACCAUCACCAGAUCCCAAAUCCACAAGGCCUCCUUUUUGACCUCUCAAGAGUUUCAUGACAUUAUCUACUUGGGCUUUGCUGGCGGGAAUGUAGGGAACCUGUUUGAUUUCGUAAUAGGUGACUGAUGAAUGAAAUUAUGUUUUGACAUACUGAAAUUCUUAUCAAGAUUUAAACCAUACUUGUAGCUUUAAUGGGACUCUUCGGAAACCUGGCUGUAGGAUCCCCACCCACACAGCAUACACAGCAAGCCCAGUGCCGGCAGCUAUUUGAGCAAGUCCCCAGCCACCAACGUGCCUCGUCUUUAGUUCAGCAAGACACACCUCAUCUGGCAUGUCAUCGUCCAUUUCUGUAAUGGAACCACAAGACCUAAGAUGUAAACAUAAAAUAUUUUAGAGGCUAUGAUAAAAAGGGCAUCUAAGGUACUUGUAGUUGUAAUAACUGCAUAACAGUAAUAUGACGAGCCUAUUAACAAGUGUGACGGACACUGCUUUCACAAUAUUUUAUUUAUCUCUGUAGUAUGUAAAUUUUAUGAAAUGGUUCAGUAACAAAGGAGGCGUCAUGUUCUUACUUGUAUCCAGUUACGUUGUCUGGCCGAGUUUUUUAGGUCAUGGGGAAUAGUUCAUAUGAUUAAUAAAAAUGUUAUAACACACAA